UUUUGUUACUCAUUUUAUUUUGGAAUCUUCAACUACUGAAGAAAUUAGUGGGAAUUAGAUUAAACUAUGGCAAAAAGAAACUCCAAAUCUUCACAAACAUGAUAACCCCUAGAACGGAUAGUCAAAAAGAUCUGCUUUAGGGUUUACCUUCUUCUCUGUGGCAGCAGAAACUCGAAAUCUUCACAAACAUGAUACAUUAUUUCUUUUUUGGAAUCUUCAACUACUGAAGAAAUUACACAUGUUCAGAUCUCUCUCUACUGCUUUAUCAUCACGUAUUCAUGGUUUGGAUUUGGAAUAAUCUAUAGAAUGAUAUUAAUUUCCUUGGGAGGUAGAAGUAUACAUUUUUGGAUUAGGGCUUAGAUCACUGCAAGAUCUAGAGUAUUCAGUUUCCUCAUUUCAAUUCCUGUGUCUUCGAUUCUCAAAGGUCGUCCCAUAAACAAGUUUCAGCACAAGUUUCUAACUACAGAUUCCGGUCACCUUGCUAUAUAUAGUACUAGACUGUCAUCAGCAAUGGGGGCGUCAAGAAUAACAACAC